CUAGGAUUAUCUGCAUGGACAGAAACAAAUGACAGCAAAUGUAGUUAAUACUUUCUGUCCAUUUUUAUGUCAUUUAGCAAAACAAUUUUGGUCCCAAAUAAAAUGUCGCUAUGGGAAACCAAAAGGCAUUAGCUUUUUCUUUUUUUUUCAUACUACCUUGCUCUAAUAAAUGAUCUAUACAAUUUUUUUUAAAAAUCUCAGCAACAGUAUACUCAUUUUUUUAGGAGACAUGAUUUUCUUAAUGGGAGUGCCAAAAACCUUUAAAGAGAUUAAAAUGGACCGGAGGAAGUAGAAAAUUGAUAUGCUGCUAUGAGUUCUUGAGGAUGCUUGCCUUGAUGGAUUAUCAUAACACUACCAUAGACACAUCAGCAGAUAAAGUUGACAAAUCAAAGGGGGCUUAGCUGUUGUGAUAUGAACUUCAGUACUUACCCUGCUGACAAGCCUGGUGAAUGAGUAUGAGAUACUCUUUGGUUGGCACAAUCCAAUAAUUGGGAUAUGCCGUCCAAUCGGAAUGCAUCAGUAACUUUCAUCUCUGAUAUGUUGCAGUCGUUGCUAUCCACCAUGAUAAUUCCUUCUUCCCUAUGCUCUGGUGAACUACCUUCAGCUUUGAAGCCUUGAGAGAGAUGUUCCUCUGUUUGACUCUUAACAACACUGCAAGCACGACUUGAUGACUGCAGUAGUUGGCAUUCAUCUGCAAAUGUGUUGUCCCUUACUGUGACAGCACCUUCCGGAGUGACUGGUUUUCUAAGAAAGGACAAGAUUUCAUGGGCUGUCAAGAAGCAUAUAGCAUCAAAAGUUAAAAAGAUGAAUUUAGCAAUUGACUAGAUUGGCAAAAAUAAAACACUAAGGGCCAUACUUGCCAAAAAGAAAUUUUCAGGAACUAAUCCAAGGUAAGGAGGCUCAGCAAACUAUAAUUCCACAAAUUCAAGAGUAGAGGUGCUUGUUAAGAUGGUGAAGGAACAAAUACUGAGAGCUUUCAAAAAUUGCUGCAUGAGUUUUACCAUUUUUAAAGACUCUUUGAUCCAGCCUAAGUAGUGUGCCACAUACAGAUCAAUAUGAUUAAAUUUUUUCAAUUUGUUGUCUUAAU